AUUGAACGCUGGCGGCAGGCCUAACACAUGCAAGUCGAGCGGAGCGGCGGACGGGUGAGUAAUGCCUAGGAAUCUGCCUGGUAGUGGGGGAUAACGUCCGGAAACGGGCGCUAAUACCGCAUACUAUCAGAUGAGCCUAGGUCGGCUUAGCUAGUUGGUGGGGUAAAGGCCUACCAAGGCGACGAUCCGUAACUGGUCUGAGAGGAUGAUCAGUCACACGGGAACGGAGACACGGUCCAGACUCCUACGGUGGGAAGCAGUGGGGAAUAUUGGCCAAUGGGCGAAAGCCUGAUCCAGCCAUGCCGCGGGUGUGAAGAAGGUCUUCGGUUUGUAAAGCACUUUAAGAUGGGAGGCGUUACCUACAGAAUAAGCACCGGCUAACUUCGUGCCAGCAGCCGCGGUAAUUA
rnacentral:rRNA from 1 species